GUGCUUGCUUUGGCAGCACAUAUACUAAAAUUGGAAUGAUAUAGAGGUUAGCAUGGCCCUUGCACAAGGAUGACAUGCAAAUUCAUAAAAUCCCAAAACUAAAA